rnacentral:tRNA from 1 species
GCGCCCUUAGCUCAGUGGAUUAGAGCACUUGCCUUCGAAGCAAGGGGUCGGGGGUUCGAAUCCCUCAGGGCGCG